rnacentral:rRNA from 1 species
CAGCCGCCACGGUAAAACGGAGGGUGCAAGCGUUAAUCGGAAUUACUGGGCGUAAAGCGCACGCAGGCGGUCUGACAAGUCAGAUGUGAAAUCCCCGGGCUUAACCUGGGAACUGCAUUUGAAACUGUCAGGCUGGAGUCUUGUAGAGGGGGGUAGAAUUCCAGGUGUAGCGGUGAAAUGCGUAGAGAUCUGGAGGAAUACCGGUGGCGAAGGCGGCCCCCUGGACAAAGACUGACGCUCAGGUGCGAAAGCGUGGGGAGCAAACAGGAUUAGAUACCCGGGUAGUCCCUGUCUCUUAUAC